GGCCUGCAUAUCAAGAUGUAGCCAGCACCAUGUCUGCCUGCACACCACCAUGCUCCCCACCAUGAUGAUAAUGGACUGAACCUCCAAAACUCAAUUUGACAGCAUGGAGGAGCCCAGAGUGGAUAGGACUGAACAUGUCAUUGAGCACCAGCGGCUUUGAUACCAUGGGGACGGUGGCAUCCAAUAAAGCAGCUGUGGUUGGUGAGAAAGGUGGUACUUGGUGGCACAAGAUAGAGACGUCCUUGGCUGAAACGGAUUCAACCUAGAGGCACAUGUCUUUAAAUGCUUACUCACCAGGAAAUGACACUGUUUGAAAAGGACUAGAAGGCAUGUCCUUGUCAGAGGAAGUGUUGUCACUGAAGGAGUGCUUGGAGGUCUUGAAAGUCCCCGCCUGGCCCAGUGUCUCUCUCUCCCUCUGCUGCCUGCGCAUCGGGAUGUCAAGUCUGAUCUACUUCCCCAGUGCCAAGUGUGCCACCAUGCUCCCUGUCAUGUCAAUGCACUACUACUCUGAAUCUGUGAGCAAUACCCUGAUUAAAUGCUUUCUUUUAU
rnacentral:lncRNA from 1 species